rnacentral:lncRNA from 1 species
CGCUGGCGAGGUGAGAGCUCCAAACUUGAAGCGGCGCCACGGCCAAGGUGUCCUCUGUCGCCAUUGCAGGAGCUGCGAGGGUGCGCGAAUCCGAAUGGUGGCUGAUUGGUGAACCUAGAGCACCCUUUGCCCCAGGUUCUAGCUCUGGCCCGGUUUUUUCUCUUUACAUUUAAGCUGUAGGCAGAGGAAAUCCUCGUUAGAGGCCUUCUCCCCACCCCGCUUCUCAGCCACAAACUGUUGUUUCAUUAGGAAUCUCACCAGAAACCCGUUUUCAGGUGAAGGCCGAGUACUCAGCCCCUUGUGGUGCCUGGUUUUACUUGAUCACAUUGUAAUUCCAUCCUAGGAACCACUCUAUAAGUUCACUUAACAGAGAGAAGUGGAGUGGUUCUUAGCAACCUUUUGCGAUGUAACUUAACCACCAAAGAGAUAUCUGGCUAAUAUGGCAGCUCUCGAGAAGUCCGUAUUUACACGUUGGAGCCCGGUACUCUUAUUCCCACGCUGCCUCCGGAAGGUAAAUCUGCUCAAAGGCGAUCUGCGUGCUGUAGCAGCUAAGAUUUGAAUCCAGACGUCAGGACUCAGUACCUUCCCUACAAAAAUCCCUUUGUGGUCCAGCCAAAGAACUAAAUGCAAGCGGGCGACCAUCUCGACCGCAG